GCUAUCUUGUCGGAGUGCCUAGCUGAUACACUGUAUCACGGGCUGAGACCGUUGAUUCGGGAUCCGCGGAACCUGAUUGGGCUAAUACCCACGAAGGGAACAAGAGUAAUUAUCAC
rnacentral:ncRNA from 2 species